UAUUGAACAACGCAAAACAAUCAACGUCCACGUCCCUCUGACACUUACAAUGGCCCGAGGCUCGGGCUUAACCGCUCUUGACGCCCACGACUGCAAUUACACGGGGGACUGAGGAUGGAGAAGGAAGAUCGAACAAUCUUGGGUGCGGUGCUCUCCGGAUUUUCCGUGGGGAGGAUCGCAAUGAUUGAACGUACAU
rnacentral:sRNA from 1 species